AAAAUUUAAAUUUAAAAUACUAAAAUAGUAAAUAAAUGUUUAUUGAAACUUAAAUAAUUUGGCGGUAUUUUAGUUCAUUUAGAGGAAUCUGUUUAAUAAUUGAUAAUCCACGAAUAAAUUUACUUAAUUUAUAAUUUUGUAUAUCGUUGUUAAAAAAAUAUUUUUUAAUAAAAUUAAUAUUUAAAAAUUAGAAUAUAAAUUUAAAUCAGAUCAAGAUGCAGAUUAUAAUUAAGAAUAUAAUGGAUUACAAUAAAUUUAUUUAAAUGGAUUUUAAUUUGUAAAAAUUAAUUGAAAGUGGAUUUAAAUGUAAUUUUAUUUAAUUUAAUAAAAUGAUUAAAAAUUAAAAUAUGU
rnacentral:rRNA from 1 species